ACAAAACAGGAACUUGACUCGAGGUUAAUCAGAGAAUUGACUCAACGUUACAUUUUAGGAAGUGGUUUUAGGAGAAGCGACAGAAACGCGUUGAAACAAAGGGAGCUGAAAAUCACAGCUGAACCGCGGAAUAAAGAAGCAAUCAGAUCUAAAAACGUCAUGCUUCUGCAAAUACGGCGUCCGCUGUCUUUGAUGCGGCGUGGGUUUUUCCAGAAAACCCCGCAGAAGAACUGACACACGCAUGCACACACAGAGCGCAUCUUUGUUGUGUUUUUCUGAAUGCCGUACAUCGGGGUGAGGAGGAGGAGGGAGCACAAGCAACACUCUCCAAAAUCUGAUGACUGACACAUGAAGCACAGGAGGAAACGUAUUCACUUCCUGUUCUCCUCCUUCAGCUGAAAUGGAUCAGCCUCUUCUGAACCGACUGUCUGUGUGGGGCUGCUGCUCCUGCAGCACUUUGAAGGCCUGGCUGCCGAUCCUCACCUGGCUGCCGAGGUACAAGCUGAAGUGGCUUCAGAUGGAUCUGCUGGCAGGCCUCACCGUCGGCCUGACAACCGUACCCCAGGCGCUGGCUUAUGCUGAAGUAGCCGGCCUCCCUGUGCAGUACGGACUCUACUCCGCCUUUAUGGGAGGCUUCAUCUAUACCCUCCUGGGGACGUCUAAGGAUGUGACACUGGGUCCCACUGCAAUCAUGUCCCUGUUGUGUUUCUCGGUGGUGGGGGGGCAGCCACACCGCGCCGUGCUGCUCAGUCUGCUCUGUGGACUCAUCCAGGCAGGAAUGGCAUUACUGAGACUAGGUUUCUUGCUGGACUUUAUCUCCUUCCCUGUUAUAAAAGGUUUCACUUGUGCUGCUGCGGUAACCAUCGGCUUCGGCCAGGUCAAGAACAUUCUGGGACUCCAGGGUGUUCCUCAUGAGUUCUUCCUGGAGGUUUACUACACCUUCUACAAGAUCCCAGAGGCCAGGACAGGGGACGUGGUGCUGGGCCUGCUUUGUCUCGCCGUGCUGAUCAUGCUGUUAUUCAUGAAGGAGAGCCUGGGCGCGGAGGGAGCUCCUACCUGCCCCGCAGUUGCCAGAAAACUAGUGUGGACCGUUGCCACCGUGCGCAACGCUCUUGUGGUCGUGGCUUCAUCCUUCGUGGCGUUUUCCUGGAACGCUUACGGUCAUCCCGUGUUUACGGUCACUGGGGAGACUUCCCGGGGGCUCCCGCCGUUCAGACCUCCACCCACCUCGGACACCACAGCCAACGGCACGGUGGUCUCCUUUGGAGAGAUAGUAGAGGACUUUGGAGGAGCGCUGGCUGUGAUUCCCUUCAUGGGUCUGUUGGAAAGCAUUGCUAUUGCUAAGGCUUUUGCCAGUCAGAACGACUACAGAAUUGAUGCCAACCAAGAGCUGCUGGCAAUUGGUGUGACCAACAUCAUGGGCUCCUUUGUGUCGGCCUACCCUGUGACUGGCAGCUUUGGGAGGCAGGACAGCAGUGAACUCCCAGACUGGUGUUUGCACUCCAGCUGGAGGGAUCGUCACCAGUGUGGUAGUGUUGCUCUCCCUGGCGUUCCUCAUGCCGGCCUUCUACUACAUCCCCAAAGCCUCUCUAGCUGCUGUUAUCAUCUGUGCGGUAGCUCCCAUGGUGGACUAUCGGGUCAUCGCCAAGAUGUGGAAGAUACGCAAACUGGACCUGCUGCCGUUCGUUGUGACGUUCCUGAUGAGCUUCUGGCAGGUGCAGUACGGCAUUGUGGGAGGUGUGGCUGUAUCUGGAGCCCUGCUGCUCUACAACACGGCAAGACCACCAAUGAAGGUGUCUGAUCACGGUGUGCUGGUGGUGGAGUUAGGCAGUGGACUGAGUUUUCCUGCCACAGAGUAUCUCAGCCACAUCAUACACACUCAGGCUCUGCAGGCGUGUCCUCCGAAGUCAGUGGUGCUGGACUGCCAUCAUGUCAGCGUCAUAGAUUACACAGUGAUCAGCGAGCUCAGUGACCUGCUGAGACAGUUCCGACUGCGAGAAGUGCGGCUUGUCUUUUGCAGAUUAGAGCUCUCUGUUCUGGAGGUUCUCCUUGCAGCCGAUCUGCAGGGCUUCAGCUAUAAAGACAGUGUGGAGGCGGCGCUGCAGAGCGAGUCGGCGAGCUUGAACACUGAUCAGUGACGUUUCUAAUCCUACAUUGUUGAGCUGUUAUCCAGUUUAAAAGUAAUGAACUACCUCCAGCAACUGGCUUCACCGGCUGUUAGGACGUUACCAUCGCAAUAUUAGACCAUUUUUGAGGGAACGAGGAUGCAAUAAGAGAAAUAAUAUUGACAUAUAUCUAUAUAUAUAUAUAUAUAAAUGUUUACACACAGCUGAAGGGGAUGUUUAAGGGACCAAAAACGGACCAGAGCAAACACAAUGCUUGUGCCACUAUCAUUAUUUAUUUAUCUAUCUAAAUAAACAUUCUCUUUCUCUAUUCUUGAUGUUGAAAAAAUGAUUAUAAUUAGGGCUGUCAAUACAUUUAAAAAAAUUAACUAAUUGAUCUCACAUUUUGAAAUUCAUUCAUCUCAAUUUAUGGCAAUUAAUGAAUGUUGUUGUUGUUGUUACAACAAGUAAGUGAGUAAGUAAUCUUAAAAGUAAUGUAAUCACUUCAGAAAGUGUGUAUUUUAGACACUUGUUUAAUUGUUAAUGUUAUUUUAAACACAAAGCUACACACAUUUGUUUGUUUGCUACUCACCCCCCUUCUGUUUGACACGUGGAGUAAUUCUUCUGCACAGUUCUCCGCUGUAUGUCGCACCAGUUUGUUUUACCUCCAAUGAAAAAAGCUAGUGAGAAAUUAAAUCAUUCAUAUCAAUAGAAUUAAUAAUCGCUAAGAUAAUUUAUUAUAAAUCGGUAAGGGGGCAUCAAAACAAAACACACGUGUUGUUUAACUCGGUGUGCGCUCUGUCCUUUCUUGCGGGAAUCAUGAGGGCUGUUUGGUUUCUUGAUGGCGCAAAAGCUGUUGGUGCUCUUGUAACACGCAAGUUGUAUCCAAGCCAUUGACACACUUUCAGUGUCACGUUCUGUCACGGUAUCGGGCGGCAAAGAUCCACGCGCAGAGGGAGGUCACAAAAUAAGGGUUUUAAUGUUCAACAGAAACAGCGAGCCGAGCUCGAUGGCAAAACAUAGAACAAAAAUGCAUUCUCUAGGAGACCAGCUAGGCAAGGGCUUGACUCACAAGAAUAAUCCGACAAGACACAAAGGUAACACAUGCAAGAUAUAGACAGGGUGAUUAGACAUGACGAGAAACAGGUGUAACAGCAAACGGCGCGGGCACUGAUUGAAAUGAGCGGCAGGUGGAUGGGAAGGCUAUGUGGUUGCAUAUAAGGAGAAGUUCAACUUAGUCAUCAGUGUGCUUCCUCCCCGAACUCUUUAUGACUUUGUGGACUCUGCAGCGCCUCUUACGAGAAUAAAACCUGUUAAAAUC